GUCAGGAUGGCCGAGCGGUCUAAGGCGCUGCGUUCAGGUCGCAGUCUCCUCUGGAGGCGUGGGUUUGAAUCCCACUUCUGACA
rfam:Danio rerio unplaced genomic contig CTG2934, GRCz11 reference primary assembly.